rnacentral:rRNA from 1 species
GUAUUCUAACCGUGCAAAGGUAGCGUAAUCACUUGUCUUCUAAAUAAAGACCAGUAUGAACGGCUAAAUGAGGAUAAACCUGUCUCUUGUGGCUAAUCAGUGAAACUGAUCUUCCAGUACAAAAGCUGGAAUACUAACAUAAGACGAGAAGACCCUGUGGAGCUUUAAACCAACCAUUAACAAGCACACACCAUACUGCCCCUAAUGCUAAGUUUUAAGUUGGGGCGACUUCGGAACAAAAUAAAACUUCCAAGAAAAGAAGCACAACUUCUAACCAAGGCCAACAAGCCAAAGUUUAAAAUGUGACCCAGUACUACUGAUCAACGAACCAAGUUACCCCAGGGAUAACAGCGCUAUCUUCUUCAAGAGUCCAUAUCGACAAGAAGGUUUACGACCUCGAUGUUGGAUCAGGACACCCAAAUGGUGCAGCCGCUAUUAAAGGUUCGUUUGUUCAACGAUU